rnacentral:rRNA from 1 species
GCCUAUGGGACGCAGCAGUGGGGAAUAUUGCACAAUGGGGGAAACCCUGAUGCAGCAACGCCGCGUGAGUGAAGAAGUCAUUCGUGAUGUAAAGCUCUAUCAGCAGGGAAGAAAAUGACGGUACCUGAGUAAGAAGCCCCGGCUAACUACGUGCCAGCAGCCGCGGUAGUACGUAGGGGGCAAGCGUUAUCCGGAUUUACUGGGUGUAAAGGGAGCGUAGACGGCAGUGCAAGUCUGAAGUGAAAGGCAAGGGCUCAACCCUUGGACUGCUUUGGAAACUGUGCUGCUCGAGUGUCGGAGAGGCA